rnacentral:rRNA from 1 species
UGUAGGCGGAAAGUUUAGGUAAAUCCGGACUUUCUUAACGCUGAGAUACGAUGUCGAGCUACUACGGUAGUGAAGUCAUUGAUGCCAUGCUUCCAGGAAAAGCCUCUAAGCUUCAGAUUGUAAGGAAUCGUACCCCAAACCGACACAGGUGGUCGGGUAGAGAAUACCAAGGCGCUUGAGAGAACUCGGGUGAAGGAACUAGGCAAAAUGGUACCGUAACUUCGGGAGAAGGUACGCUCUUAUCAGUGAAGUCCCUUGCGGAUGGAGCAGACGAGAGUCGCAGAUACCAGGUGGCUGCAACUGUUUAUUAAAAACACAGCACUGUGCAAAAUCGUAAGAUGACGUAUACGGUGUGACGCCUGCCCGGUGCCGGAAGGUUAAUUGAUGGGGUUAG